UUUGAAAAUCUAAAGAAAAAAUGUAUUUUAUUUAACUACUAUAAUAUACAGAAGCCCUGGUGACACAGUGGUUAAGUGCUAUGGUUGCUAACCAAAAGGUCGACAAUUCGAAUCCACCAGGCACUACUUGGAAACUCUAUGGGGGGCAGUUCUACUCUGUCGUAUAGGGUCGCUGUGAACCGGAAUCAACUCGAUGGCAGUGCAUUUGGUUUUGGUUUUACACUAAUAUACUGUUUACCCGUAUUAUUGACUAUGCAAAGGCAUUCAACUGUGUGGAUCAUAACAAAUUGUGGAUACCAUUGCAAAGAAUGGGAGUUCCAGAACACUUAAUUUUGCUCAUGAGGAACCUGUACAUAGACCAAGAGGCAAUUGUUGGAACAGACCAAGGGGAUACUGCAUGAUUUAAAGUCAGGAAAGGUGUGUAUCAGGGUUGUGUCCUUUCACCAUACAUAUUCAAUCUGUAUGCUGAGCAAAUAAUCCAAGAAGCUGGACUAUAUGAAGAAGAAUGUGGCAUCAGGAUUGGAGGAAAUCUCAUUAAGAACCUGCGGUAUGCAGAUGAUACAACCUUGCUUGCUGAAAGCAAAGAGGACUUGAAGCACCUCCUGAUAAAAAUCAAAUAUUACAGCCCUCAGUAUGGAUUAACAACAAUAACAACAAAAAAAAAAACCACUGCUUUCAAGUUGAUUCCGACUCAUAGUGACCCUGCAAACAGAGGAGAAUCACCCCAUAGACUUUCCAAGGAGUAGCUGGUGGAUUUGAACUGCUGACCUUUUGGGUAGCAGUCAAGCUCUUAACCACCGCACCACCAGGGCUCCCAGCAUAGAUUAUACCUCAACCUAAAGAAAACCAAAAUCUUCACAACUGGACCAAUAAGCAACAUCAUGAUAAACAGAUCAAAGAUUGACGUUGUCAAGGAUUUCGUUUUACUUGGAUCCGCAAUCAACACCCAUGGAAGCAGCAGUUAAAAAAUCAAAGGACGUAUUGCAUUGGGCAGAGCUGCUGUAAAAGAACUCUUUAAAGUGUUAAAAAGCAAAGAUGUCACUUUGAGAACUAAAGUGCACCUGACCCAAGCCAUGGUAUAUCUUCAAUCGCCUCAUAUGUGCAUGAAAGCUGGACAGUGAAUAAGUAAGAAUGAAGAAAAAUUGAUGUAUUUGAAUUGUGGUGUUGGUGAAGAAUAUUGAAUAUACCAUGGACUGCCAGAAGAACAAACAUACCUAUCUUGGAAGAAGUACAGUCAGAAUGCUUCUUAGAAACAAGAAUAAUGAGACUUCAUCUCACUUACUUCGGACAUGUUAUAAGGAGGGACCAGUCCCUGGAGAAGGACAUCAUGCUGGAUAAAGUAGAGGGUCAGUGAAAAAGAGGAAGACCCUCAAUGAGUGGGCUUAAACAUAACAAGGAUUGUGAGGACACUGCAGGACCAGGCAGUGUUUCCUUCUGUUGUAUAUAUGGUCACUACGAAUUGAAGCCAAGUCCCCAGCACCUCACAACAACAACAAUAUACAUAUGUACCUGCAAGAUGUGUAUCUACCUAAGUUAAAUCAAACUUUAUUAGAAAUUCAUGAGUCUGUUGGAACCGAUUGAUGGAUGUUGUUGUUUAGGUAACUUUAGACAGUUUUUCAUCUUUAAAAAUGAUGCUUCUUGUAUAGCAGAAAUUAGCAGAAUGUCGAGUAAGUACCCUUCCCUAUUCUACUUUUAAAUACAAAAUUAGAGGACUUUUUAGGAAUUAAAAAUGGAUAGCCAGUGCCAGUUUACCAAAACAAAAAAAACAAACCAAUUGUUGUCGAGUCGAUUCCAAUUCAUAGCAACCCCAUAGGACAAUAGGACUGCUCCAUAGUAUUUCCAAGGAGCAGCUAGUGGAUUCGAACUGCUGACUUUUUGGUUAGCAGCCAUUGCUCCAGUGCCAGUUUAGUGUCCGCUAAAUCCCUGUAGUAUUUUAGAUCCGUUGUACCAAUAUGCAUUGGCAAAUUUAACCCAGAUUGAGCAUAAAUUUCAUUUUUCACAGGUAUGUCCAGUGCUUUAAGUUUCUUUGUUUAUAUUACUUUGCCCUACUUUGAAAAGUGUUAUUUAUGCAUAAAUUUAUUGAUUUAAUUGGACUCAUUUUUAAUGGUGCUAACUUCUGAAUUUCUAAUGGUGGCCUGCGCCUGCAUAGUCAACCUUUCUUCCUGCUGGAAAUUUUUUUACCUGAUGCUUUUUUACUGUGUCUCUUUUGCCUUUAUUACCUAUAUGGUAUUUCUCCCUUUUCUUUAAGCAAUUCACAACCUAACUCUGUGCUACUGUAGUAUAAUGCUUCUGCUCCUUGUAUGAUUGCAAUGCACCACAUAUUUGUACGAUUGCAGUCAAACUGUUAUUAUCUCACAUUGGUCAUUGACCACAUAGUGUCACCACGUCAACUGGUUUGCCAUUCCCAGAUAUUGCAUGUUCCUAUUAAUGCAGUUUUACUCUUUAGGGUCACUCUGAGUCAGAAGCGACUCAAUGGCAAAGGGUUUGGGUUUUCUACUCUGUCCUACAGGGUCAAUAUGAGCUGGAAUAGAUUCUACAGCAAUGGGUUUUUUGUUGUUGUUUUAUUAAUGGAUGGGAGCCCUAGGUGGCACAGUGAUUAAGUGCUCGACUGCUAACCAAAAGGUUGGCAGUUCGAAUCCAUCAGCUGCUCCUUGGAAACCCUAUGGGGCAGUUCUACUCUGUACCGUAGGGUCACUAUGAGUCAGACUCAACUCAGUGGCAAUGGGAUUAGUGGAUGAACUUCUCACAUUUCCUUUGUGUUCUAUCUUGAGUAAAUGUAAAUCGCACUAGCCCAUCCAAUUUCAUUUUCUUUUUUCAGCUUUCUGUUUCAUCAUUUAUUAUUCUGAUCACUAUAGUAUCUUUUUCCUUAGCAUGUGGCACCUUCAGACAAGCUGUUUAUGGAGAACUGCUCAUGUGAGGUGAACUGUAAUGAGAUCACCUCCCCACUCUAACAGAGGAAGAUGACCAGAAUGAAAACCCAGCUCCCAUCUGGAAAUCAUUGAAUCCCACUGUACAAAACGCUACUCUUACAUCUAGGAGAUUGACAUUCAAUGACAUUAUUUUGGCUCAUCGCUAUGUGAAAAACAUGAAGGAUUUUUCAGCAAUAAACUCAGCAUAUGUGACCACAUUCAAGCUCUGUCUACCUGCAAGGGUGUGUGUAGAAACCGUGUUGCCAGAAGAACUACUUUUCUCUGUGGAUUGCCUUGUUCACCAGAGUGAUAUGAAGAUUGGUGAUGGUCUCUCUCCACCCAAAUACAUCUUGCAUGUUCAGAUUAUUUCUCACUGGGCACCUCCUAGCAUUGGACCAUGUAGUCAGUCCAUUAAGAUUUACUGAAAUUAUUAUUGGACUGAAAUAUUAAAGGUGAAAGGAAGAGGAAUGGAACCAACAUCUAUUGAGCACCUGGCCACAGCACCAGAAAAAGCCAGACAAUGGUCAAAUGUAUUUUCUAACUUCUACAUCAGAGGCAGGGCCUGGCCAUGUUAUCCCCUCCAUAAAAGGAGAGAACUCUUUAGAUCAUUGACUUUCUGGGAGCCAGAAAUCACGGAACAAAGAACAGUUUCCCCAAAAUGAGGAAACUCUAGGCUUUCCUUCACCACCUCGCUCCUGCACCGUUUCUCCAAAUUUUAUUAUUUAGUAUAUAAACUAUUCAUAAGUAUACAGCUUGUAAGUCUAAUUGAUGCAGUUCCACAGCAAGCUGUGAACUGAUGUGUGUAUCAGAAGACUGCUGUUAGGGUAUGAAUCCAGGUGGAUAUUUAGUUGAAACGCCAUGAGAAAAAUAGGAAAAAAGAAACACCUUCUUCAUUCUGAAUAUGAGAUAAUUACUUUUCAAAAAUCAUUGCAGCCCCAAUCCAAGAAGGGACCACAAGGUUUAAUUGUGGGUGUGCUAUUUACAGAUUAAUUAGGACAUUUAACUUCAUUUUUUAUACCACAGAAUUAAUCCCAUAAAAAUUAGCGAUCUCGAAGGAGUCAGUUGUCAGCUCUGACAGGAUCUCUUUGCCAUAAUCUAUUAAAAUGCUGCUUUUAUCUUGUCUUGCCUGUGUCAUAUUUUAUGGAUUUUUUCAUAAACACUGCCUAUACUUCAUAAAUGUCUCAAUUUUCUAGUCUAUUAACAUUACUUCAAAAGCAAUUGAUAAAAGAGUAGGGCAUGCAUAAAAUAAUACACCAAUAAUGUGAAGAGCUGGAGGCAAGAACAGUGGGUAGGAUCUGCACAGCUUGUGAGUGGAAACAAUGAAAGGAUGUUUUAUCUACUACAAUAAAGAAACAAAUGAUCAUUUUUGAUAGUAGAAAAAAGAUUGCUGGUAAUUGGGCAGAUGAAAAAUGGGUGACACAGAAAAUAUAGCGUAUUUUGAAAAUGAUAACUGAAAUGAGAAAAUAAACAUCCCCAAGUAUAUAUUUACAUCAUGGGGACAGUUUUCCCUUUGGUUUGAUGUGCUAUUCAGCUUGAUUUGGCUCAGUUAUAGUUAUGAUGGUCUUAUGCUAUGUGUAAACAAAUUUCCUUUGUAUGCAUGUUUUAACAAAACUAUCCAUAAUGUACUUUAUGUAUUACUGCAAUAAGUGUUGGAAUUAGGUUUUUUAAAAUCUUUAUAAUUUUAUUAUUUUGGUUUUGGGGGGUUUUGAAAUUUGUUUAGUUUUUCCCUUAACGUAUGAAUGAUAUGUCUGUAACAUCCUGUUUAUAAAGUCCUGGUAUAUGGCCUAAAUUGAUGUAAUGAAAUGAAAAUCUUAUCUGGAUUUGUACCACAAAUAUAAUUCACAGGGAUAUAAAUAAAUUGACUUCAAAAUUAGUCAGUAAUUAUAUAUUUAAACCAACCAAAUGGAAGACAAAGAAGAGAAAGAGCAUUAAGCACAUACAGAAUUCCUGAUUUCCCUUUGCUUUAUUUUUCCUGUUUUACCACUCGAUUUAGCUAAAUGAAACCAGGUAUUUUUCCAGGCUUUUAUUCCUAAAGCCUCAUGCUUUAUAAAUGGAGGUUCCAUAGUGCCUCAUAGUGUCUGGACAGUCCCAGCUUACACUUGUAAUGAUCUAAGCUCCCUGUUUCCCUCACAAACAUAUCCUGACUUGGAACGCAGGGUAUAUGGUCACCUAUUAAACUGUGAUCAAAUAAAUAUUGGAAGGAAUGUUUUAACAAUAUAUACAUUUUAAUUUUUUUUAAUAUACAUAGCACU